CAAUAGCGUAUAUUAAAGUUGUUGCAGUUAAAAAGCUCGUAGUUGGAUUUCGGGGCAGCCUGGCUGGUCCGCCGCAAGGCGAGUACUGGUCAGCCGCCCUUCCUCUCGAAAGCCCCGACUGCUCUUCAUUGCAGUGGUCGGGUAGUUCGGGACGUUUACUUUGAAAAAAUUAGAGUGUUCAAGGCAGGCCUACGCCUGAAUACAUUAGCAUGGAAUAAUGGAAGAGGACCUCGGUCCUAUUUUGUUGGUUUCCAGGGCCGAAGUAAUGAUUAAGAGGGACAGUUGGGGGCAUUCGUAUUUAAUUGUCAGAGGUGAAAUUCUUAGAUUACCGAAAGACAAACUGCUGCGAAAGCGUCUGCCAAGGAUGUUUUCAUUGA
rnacentral:rRNA from 1 species